UGGAUCUUGGUACGUUACACACACCCGUCAAGCAGAAGCUUCAAGCCAGCCCUGGGGGAACAUCUUUGAAAGACACUCUUGCAAUACCAAUGAACUCUCCAUCCAUCGGCAGCCUGUUUCCUCAGAAGGUUCAUUGAUUUAAGAACACACUGACCAAACCACUGCAAUUUUCACAAAGCAUACUCUGGGGCAGAGUAUGAUGAUACCCGACUUUGGAUCUGCACCUCUUUUUGCACACGCAUGAGUGAGGGUAAAUCUCAGCAGAAGCCAAAGGGCACUACACUGCUGCGAAAGUGAUGUGAAAAGAGGGCAAGGUCCCCUCGCCGGGCAGCAGCUGCUGUGCUUGCUCCAAUACGCUGGCCUGAGGGGAACAGUAAGUGUGCUUCUGAAGGAAGUCUGGCUUUCAGUUUGAUAAAGAUCGCUGAGAUUUUACGAUAACUCUCCUGAGCGUUGCUGGUAUCUCCUAGACAAUAUUGCAAUAUUCUGGUUCCAUUGCUCAGCUAAGACCUGGGCACAGAGAGUGCGGCUGCGAGCCCUGCGCCCCGGGGCCGCUACCAGCAACCUGCAGGUUGCCCCAACCAACUAUUCCCCUGAUGACUUUCGCCCAGAAAUCUCUUUAGCAUCUGGCAACAUUUCAGAUGUCAACUUGCCUAACGUAGAGCAGGGGAUACACCAGGGUUUCGAGGAUGCUGUUGUGCAACUGCUGCUCUUCUCCUGGGCGCGGGUGUGCAAACAACAGGGCAUGGGGAGCUCAGGCAAGAGGCUUGCGUGUUCAGCUGGGUCCAGGGGAGACCGCCUGCCCUCCUCCGGACGUGUGCAGCCGCUGGGUCUGCAUGUGCACCUCUCUGAAUCCUUGGCUGCCUCUUCAGGAAUGUGGAUACCAACUCAGCCAUGGGCUAAUAAAGCAGAUGAAGUGUUGCCUUGUGCUUCAGAAAGAACAUCUUGACCCCCACAGGACUUUGCUUACAGCCUGAAGGAGUAAGCACUCUGGGUGUCGAAAGCAAUCUGAAUAUCACUUAAAAUCGGUGCUGAACAGAGCUAUUUUCUGCAAGAGGUGAGUGUCAGGAAACCAGCAAGACAAGGGACUGCGUAGCGGCUGAAGGCAGGAUUUACCUCCCUGGUACUGGAGAGAUCUUUUCCCUGGAUCUGGCUAUGAGAAGGAAUGUCUCUACAACCGUUUCUGAUUAGAUCCAGAAUGGACUUGCCACUAAGAGAAGGAGCUGUAAGGGUCCUUCCACUGCGCCUGCUCAUUCACGGCCUUCCCAGAGUGGGAUUUGUUUAUUUGUUUGGCAAUGGAGCUUGCACAUUGAGCUGUAACAGGUAAAACAGGAGGGAGAAUCCCGAAGUACUGUUGCCCUUGCCUCAGUACGCAUUAGCAGCAAUUUCUCCUGGUUUUCCUAUUAUGUGUGUAACUCGAUAGGUUACCCCUUAGCUUUUUCAAUAUAAGCCAUAACCUACCCAGGCUGCCCCAGGAGGCCAAGUUCAAGCUUGUUCUGGGAUCUCUGGCUUCUUUGACAGACCGUGCUGGAUUUCAGGCCCGCAGAAUGGCGUUCCUCAGGCUGCAUGAGAUGUGGGUGAGCACUGACCAAGCGGCAGGGCUGUCAGAGGCUGGCUCAUUCCUCCAGGCAGACCUUGCCCGGCUAAGAGCGCGAUGGGGACCAGCAGCACUUGUGGGACAGGCUGGGCCAAAGGGAUGGAAUCGUGUUGUUCUCUGAACACAGUGAGGAUGCUCUGGUAUUCGUCCAAGAGAAUAGCGAUGUCCCCACAACCUUCAACACCACAAACAAUUUCACACAGGAGAAAACUUGGUCUGUAGCUAUGAGUCAGAAUGAGAAGAGCGAGCUCCUGGCAGGCCUUGGGCUGUGGCCCUGCCCACCACAGGGAGCAGAGCAUUUUCCUUCUUUGAGGCAAUGUGCAAAAUCCUUGAUAACAGUUUUUGGUGACACUGGAACGUGGUGCUGAGAGCUCAGAGACUCAUCAGGUGGGAGAAAGGCCAUUUUUGCAGAAAGACCUGAAGCCGAGCAAAGCAAACAUUGCAUUGCAAGCAAUCCCUGUGAAGUCAGCGGAGCUGUUUCUGGAGCCAGCAGCUGAACACACAGAUGAGAUGUGAAGCCAGAAGAAGCAAGUCCGUGUGAUCAGAAUUCCAACGGUUUGCUUUGGGAUUUUCUAGUUGAAAGAGAAAAGCUGGCCCUCCCAGCAUGGUGCAAUGGUACAAGACAGCUUUAUUAAAUGCCAUGGGAGGCUGUGUCUUUAAAUACUCGUGCACAAACAUUUUUCUCUUGUUGACAUAAAAAUUUGAGACUUCAUAUGGUAAAGUCUACUGUGCAAAGACCCCACAGAGCUGUAAUCUGGACUCAUUUUGACAUGCGUGUUCCUUCCGUGUUAAAAAUCCCCUUCUGUGCUGAAACAACCAGGGCCCUUCUCCCACUAAGUGCUUCCUUAGGCACCUGCUGAUCCAUGUUUUUCCUGUUUCUCAAUCCUCAGUGACACCUAGUGAAACUGAUGGGAAGUGCAGGCUCAGUUUUCUUUCUAAGGAUCGAUGCAACUGCAGCAACACAUUUCACAAUUAAAUGCUGAAGUACUGCGCCUUAUUUAAUCUGCUGCCACUUGAAUGGCUGUCUUAGAAGAGCUGGUACUAGAAGCAUUUUGGCCAUUUACAAACGUUUAGUUGGAGCCCACGGUAUGGUCAACCACCUUCCAUAUUUGAGGCACAAAAUUCAUUUACUUUUUCAUCCUUUUAAGUUCAUGUGUGUUUAGAAUAGCACUGUUAAAUUUUCUCAUCUGUUGCUGUUCCUCUUCUUCAGCCCACAGGAAAGCUGCAAGCACCUGGACUUCUAUACAAAACCCCAGACUGCUGCAGGAGCUUAAGCUACGCAUUUUUAAUAUCUGGUAUCCCUGAGCAUACUGAAAAGUGAGUCAGAUUUGGUCCACUCGUUGCUCUGGAUCAAACCAGAGGGGGUGUGAAAUGCUCUUUCAUCAGCAAAUGAAGUUUCCAGCAGAGAUGGAAAACGUAUGCCUACUUUCUAGUAAGUAGCCCAGAGACUUCAAAGGAAGAGCUUCCGCUUCAGAGCCAGCAACAGCUUUUGAACAUACAACCUCUUCUUCCUCAAAGUACAAACCCAAGUGGCUUCCGUAAAGGUUUAUGUUGGUAUGGAUUUCAGCUGUGCAAGUGCUACAGCAAUCAAUACAAACCACUCUUGUAAAUACUUGGGAAAAAUACAAAGUAGCUUCAAACAGGCCAGUAUUAAAUAACUGGAAUGAAUUAAAGAAACUCUAUGCCCUGCUUGAUCUAAAAGGCUUCAACCUAUCAAAUUAAAAGCCAAUUAAGUCAGACUCUGAGCAGAAAAAUGUGAAGCACCAGUGAGGAAGCCUGAAUACUCACUGGAAAAAGAUCCAACUGCCAAGUGUUGCUGGGCACGUUCACAUCCAGAGGACUCCACG